rnacentral:rRNA from 1 species
AUUCAUCAUGUAUGCUUUUCUAAUUAUAAGGGGGGGUGGGGGAUGAAGAGGAAACUUUUCGAGCCACACACCGGAAUUUACUUUGAGGAAAUUAAAGUGUUCAUAGCAAAUAAGUGUUUGAAUACUACAGCAUGGAAUAACAAAAUAGGACUUUGGUAUUGUUUUGUUGGAGUAGAGAAACCAAAGUAAAGAUGAAUAGGGACAGUUGGGGGCAUUGGAAUUUGAUAGUCAGAGGUGAAAUUCAUGGAUUUAUCAAAGACCAACAAAGGCGAAAGCAUUUGCCAAGGAUGUUUUCAUUGAUCAAGAACGAAAGUCAGGGGAUCGAAGACGAUUAGAUACCGUCGUAGUCUUGACCGUAAACGAUGCCGACUUGGGGGAGGUGCGAGAUGAGAAGCGCAUCACAACCAAAGGAGAAAUCAAAGUGUAUGGGUUCUGGGGGGAGUAUAGUCGCAAGGCCGAAACUUGAAGGAAUUGACGGAAGGGCACCACCAGGAGUGGAGCCUGCGGCUUAAUUUGACUCAACACGGGAAAACUUACCAGGUCCGGACAUGAUGAGGAUUGACAGAUUGAGAGCACUUUUAAGAUUUCAUGGGAGGUGGUGCAUGGCCGUUCUUAGUUGGUGGAGUGAUUUGUCAGGUUAAUUCCGAUAACGAGCGAGACCCUGUGAUGACGGUAAUGAUUGAGUAUGUAAAUACGCGAGACGUUUCUUCAUCGACACCCCA